UUUUCUAUUGUUGCUUCUUUAAAGCUUAGUUCGUAAAUUAUGCUUGAUGCUAUUUUUUUUUGUGUUUUCAUGUAGAAUCUGUGAGAUCUGUCCUUAACAUGAGUGCUUCUUUUCUUGUGAGUUAUGAGCCGUCUGAUAUAAUUUUUCAUCUUUGUCGGUAUUAAUUUUCCUUUUCUUGGCCAAAAGCAUCAUCCACUAUCAUCCAAGUUGUGCAAAUUUAGAGUAAUAUAUAUAUAUAUAUAUAUAUAUAUAUAGAGAGAGAGAGAGAGAGAGAGAGGGAGAGAGAGAGAGAGAGAGCAGCAGAAAUGGAAGUGAUCAACAAAGUACUUGUUGGUGUACAAUGAAGCUUGAGGAUUUUUUUUUAAAAAAAAAAGACAAUAAGUGAUGCACAAUUUCGUUACCAAUAGUGAAGAUUCAGUAACACAUUAUAUUGUCUAACAAUGUCAUGAAUUUGCAACAAAAAAUUUCAUCACUAAACCUUAACUUGAUUCCACCCUACGUAUGGAAAUCAUAAAUCUACAAUGUAGAUUUUUGUUGUUAUAUAUAAUUAGUAAUGAAAGAUUUUCGUUGGUAAAAAUAUUUAGCCUCGAAAAUGGUGUGUUACUAAAGGUUGAUUCCCUUGUAGUGAUUGUUUGCUUGUUAUUGAUACAUUAUUUAUGAUCUUGUAUCAUGUUGUACAAAACAAUCUUGCAUGCUAGAAAGAGUGUUGCAGACAAAUUAUCGAUAAAUGUGUCAGACAUUCUUGCAUAUUUCAUCUCUACUCAUGUCUGAUAUCGUCCACUGCAGGUUGUGCUUCCUACAUUGUGGGAAGAGUGUCAUCAUUGGGUACGUAAUGUGCUCGACAUGUAGAACACUGAUUGCGUGUACUACAAUUCAUUGAAAAUACAUGGACUAAUACCUCUUGAAUUGAUGGUCGACAAGAUAUGCUUAAAGAGUGAGUGUAGGAUCAACAUGGCUCAGUGGCACUUUUUCCAUAGGAGGGAAGCUUCACACCAAAAAGUGUAUUCAUAAUAAAGUAUACUGAAGCAAUAUACAAUGGGAAUGAACCGACUUUUGAUUGUGUAGUUAACAGAUAAGCAUCAUAUAUUUCACUUCAGAUGUUGUUUUCUUGUUGACCAACAUGUUGCUUUCUUCAUAGGAUGAUACAACACAUCUGAAAAAACAGAUAUGUGAUGACUUUUAAAACAUGUUACAUGAAUAAUGACAAAGUGAAAACAAAAAAACAUAUGAAGAAGAAGAAAACAAAAAGCAAUGACAUGAACAAUGUACUUUAUGUCUAACAAAGUGAAAGAAAAUAACAAGUAAUGACAUGAACAAUGUACUUUAUGUCUAACAAAGUGAAAAAGAAAAUAACAAGUAAUGACAUGAACAAUUAACAUACAAUUGUUAUCUAACAUCAUUUUCAAACAGCUGUUAUCUCACAAAAUUAACAUACAGUCCUUAUCUCACACCACUAACAGACAGUCAUAUUCAUCGCACCAUUAACGGAUGGUUGUUAUCUAAUACCACUAACAAACAGUCAUUAUCUUACACUAUUAAUAAGGCAGGCAUUAUUUCUCACACCAUUAGCAUGCUUUCCUUUCCAUUAAUGGACACAUGUUAUCUCACGUUACCUUACAUCAUUAACAGACACACAUUAUUUCAUGUUAUCUUACACUAUUAACAAACACUUGUUAUCUUGCACCAUUAAUAGGCACUCGUUAUCUCACCCAUUAACAACUGGUCCUUUCCAUUAACAGAUACUCGUUAUCUCACACUAUUAACAGACCAUCCUUUCUUAACAGACAUUCAUUAUCUCACACCAUGAUAGACAAUCUUUACUAUUUUUAAACAGUUGUUAUCUAACACUACUAAUAGAUAGUCGUUAUUUCACAAUUAACAAACACUUGUUAUCUCAUACAAUUAACGUGCAUUCGUUAUCAUACACCAUUAACAGAUAACCCUUAUCUCACACCAUUAACAGACACUUGUUAUCUCACAUCCUUCAAAUAAUCAUUAUCUCAUACAAUUAACUUAUAGUCUUUAUCUUACACCACUAACAAAUAGUUGUAUUCAUCACAUUAUUGUCACAGUCAUUAUCUCACACUAUUUAGAGUCAUCCUUUUUAUGGCGUUUUGAUUUUGGCAGGUUCUAAUUCAAUGAGUCGAUUCUGUGAGUCAGAACAGAAAUAUGCCUAACAAUUUGUCUUACCUCACAAUGAUACGAUAUUGGCCUAUAGUCUCUGCAUGCUCGUGGGAUCGUUUAAGACAGAUCUCUCUGCUAAAAUUCUCUUAGGCUCAUUUGCUAUGGAUCUCUCUUCAACCAUGCUCCUCCUCUGGAGUUGGUGUUCAUGAAGGUGAUGGUGAUGGUCUCGUGGGCUUGUUUAUGACAGAUCUCUUUUUUAAAAUGCUCUUAGGAUCAUUUGCUAUGGAUCUCCUUCCGACCAUGCUCCUCCACUGGAGUUGGUGUGUAUGAUGGUGAUGGUGAUUAUGAUAAGUCAAAUUGUGCAUUUGUGGAUGAUGAUCGAGGCAGGCAAGUUUCUUCAUGUGUAGAUGGUGAUCGGGGUGAAGUUCUUGAAGUUGUAGAUGGUUAUUAACAAUGAGACCACUCGACCAAAAGGCUAUGGGGUCUACGAGGAUGCACUACAUCUCAAUACUGCUUGGGGUGCCAUCCCACUGUGACGAGACUAGUUAUGGAGCUUCUUCUUAAACAUAUAUUUCCUGCCAACUCCAGUCCCAAAAGCUGUUUUGUUCCUUACUUUUGUGUAGAGCUCGGGUGGCUAUGGAAUCGACCUACUCAAACAACACUCCAUGAGGACUCAACUGGCAUGUUGCAUUUCAACUUCAUUCAAGCUGAAUAACCAGACAUAUCCGCAAGACAGUUCAAGCACUUUACGAUAUUCCAAUUGGUCUCUUUUCUAACAUUGUAUGAUCUAAACAACACCUACACAUCAAUGGAAUGUUACAUAGUUCAUAAUCAUUUUUGCACAAUUAUGCCUAAGGGACAACUGUAUUUGCGCAUUUAUAUUGCCGGUUGGAGUGAUGGAAGUGCAGAGUUGCUUCAAUAGAAGGAUUUUGUUCUAGAUGUGGGAACACAUACCUUCUCUUGGACUAAUUGUGGACUGUCCAUUUCUAGAGGCACAGCCAUUACAUGCACAAUGGAGUGAUAUCUCUCCCAAAGAUUACCAUGAUCCAGAAGUAUCUAGUUCAAGGAAAGUGUUUCCCAGUUUGCGCAAGAUAAGAUUGCUCCUCAUGCAGCAAAGGUGGACGCUACCAACAACUUCCCAAAGGAUGUUAAUCUGUGGAAGCUCAUGGGGGACUUUAAUCUUCACUGAAUCACCGCUCCAGAGGAGUAUGGUGGACUUGGUCUUGGUUAUUCAUAUCAUUGCAUAGCAAUGGAAGAAAUUAGUCGAGCUUCUGGAGCUGUUGGCCUUUCAUAUGGUGCACAUUCAAGUUGUUGAUUUAAGGACUCUGUACUGAAAGAUUGUUAGAUGAUGCUGAGUUGGUUCUAAGAGAGAUGAUACGGCAUGGAUUUGUUCCUCGAAUGGGAACCUGGAGAAGGCUUCUAAACAGAAUGUUCCCAAGGGCUGGCAAUAUAUAUGUCCACAAUGAUGUUCUUGAUGAAUUAACACAACUAGAAUGCAUAGGUGGGAUUUGUGAAAAGUGAUUGUGUUGCUGAAAUGGUUUUAGUAUAUGUGUUACGUGUUUUCUUUCUGUUCUAUGAUAACUUUCUGUAUAGUGUACAUUCUUAGUUGGCUUCAUAUUUGUAAAGGAUGGAGCAUCUUUGUGAUUGACCUAUGCUAGAAUGCUGAAAUCAGAUGUUGACUUACUAACUGCAUUCCCCUUGUACACUGCAGUGUUAAUGUUACAGUUGGGAUUUUAGAAGAUAAACUAAUGCUUACUGGUUUACAUACUGUUGCUGACAUCUAUUGCAACUCUUGUCAUCAACUCUUGGGGUGGAAAUAUUGACGAGAUUGAACAUGGAGAUGGAUCGAUUUCUGCAGAGCACUCAGACGAUGUAUAAAUAAGUCUAGAUACUAAGACCAUGGCUCAAAAGACCAAACUGUGAAUUUACUGUAAAUCAACUUAAUCUGAAACUGAUUUAACAUGUUCGAACUGCAAAGCACAACUGGAAAUGGACACAUUCU